ACGCAUCCUCAUUAUCAUAUCACAUCCUCUCCUACUUUGUAUAAACAACUUUUAGCAACAAGAUGGUGGGCUAGAGAAAUCCACAUGUAGCAAAAGUCUUUGUAGUAAACAACCAAUUGCAAACUAAGGAAAAACGCAACCAAUAGGGAAAGUAUGCACAUCCUCUCCAUCGGAUUCCUUUUCCACAUCCCCCUCACAGUCGACGAUGGAAGCGCAGAAGUGCUACGCGGUCUCCGAGGACGAUUAUUCUGAUUGUCUCCUGACGGGGGAUCUUCCUCUUGUGAAGACAUUGAAGCCACCACCCAGAACUUUCUUUAUACAAUAUGAUGAGCAUCUGCGACGCUGUCGUUGUGGUGGAUUGUGGUCAUCGAAUCCAUCUCAUUGGCUAGACAAUAACAUCCGACCUUAUCUCGGUUGCCAUCCAAGCUCGGAUCAACCAUGAAGCCCAGUGAACGAUUUGCUUUGACGGUACAAUGGCUGAUGUACAAGGAUUUGAUGAAAUUAAACUCCUAUCUGAACUGCAA